UACGGAGGGAGCUAGCGUUAUUCGGAAUUACUGGGCGUAAAGCGCACGUAGGCGGCUUUGCAAGUUAGAGGUGAAAGCCUGGAGCUCAACUCCAGAACUGCCUUUAAAACUGCAUCGCUUGAAUCCAGGAGAGGUGAGUGGAAUUCCGAGUGUAGAGGUGAAAUUCGUAGAUAUUCGGAAGAACACCAGUGGCGAAGGCGGCUCACUGGACUGGUAGUUGACGCUGAGGUGCGAAAGCGUGGGGAGCA
rnacentral:rRNA from 1 species